rnacentral:ncRNA from 1 species
GGAAAAGCGACGAGAAGGAGAAGUAGAAAAUCAGGCUUUUUACAGAGAGAACCACCUUUAGGCUGGGAGUGGUUUAUAAGCGGAUUUUUGAAAUGCCCCUUCGAGUCUUCUGCUGAACAGCGAAUUGCUUCGUGGGAUGUCUUAGGCCGCAAAGUAAGCAGAAGCGGUUUACACCGUUAUCAUGGAUGAGUUUGAGGCUUUUUUAAGCCUAAACAGAGUGGAACCGCGCUUAAAAGGCGUCUCUGUC